rnacentral:rRNA from 1 species
ACAGCAGCCGCCGCGGUAAUACAGAGGGUGCGAGCGUUAAUCGGAUUUACUGGGCGUAAAGCGUGCGUAGGCGGCUUUUUAAGUCGGAUGUGAAAUCCCUGAGCUUAACUUAGGAAUUGCAUUUGAUACUGGGAAGCUAGAGUAUGGGAGAGGAUGGUAGAAUUCCAGGUGUAGCGGUGAAAUGCGUAGAGAUCUGGAGGAAUACCGAUGGCGAAGGCAGCCAUCUGGCCUAAUACUGACGCUGAGGUACGAAAGCAUGGGGAGCAAACAGGAUUAGAUACCCCCGUAGUCCCUGUCUCUUAUAC